AGAAAAGAAGGAAAAAUAAAUGCCCAGGCAAAUUGCAUUCCUGCUUUUCGCUCCCACACUUCUUCUUGUUGCUCUCCUCCCUCAUCGCAUUCUAUAUCUAUCCCUUUCGUCUGUCAUUCUUUUUUCUCCCUCUCAUUCUCUCAUUUGGUCUCUUGUUCACCCGGUGUAAAGAGGUUAUUUUCUUACGCACCCUUUCAAUCUCCUGCUCUCUCAAUGUCAUUUUCUUACGCACCCAGGAUUAGGAAACCGUUGUCUCUCAGUUCGUUUAUUUCAUUGUAUAGAAGAAAAAUAAGGGGAAAUAGGGGAGAAAAUCUAUACGAACUGUGGUCUUUCAUCGAUACUAACAUUCUCUUCAUGGUUUCUUGGUAAGGUCACUAGUGCUUGAUGUGAAAGUCUGGGAGCCUUCAGUCAUAACUUUGUUUCAAUCACUAGGUAAUACAUAUGCAAACUCGGUCUCGGAAGAGUUAUUGCAAUCAAGGAGUAAUAUUUUCCAGGUUGAUGAAUGCUCCAUAGGAUAAGUAGACAUGAAUUCAUUAUUUAUAAGCCUUUUAUGGCUAUUUAUAUAUUUUGUUGGAAGUCUGUAAUUUAACUUGGUAUUGCUGAACAUCUUGGUGCAGUUGCUCCAAAUAUUAAACACCGGAUCUUUGGAUGGUGUGAGAUAUCCUUAAAAUCGGUAAUGAUUAAUGACUUAGUUUUGUUGAAGAAAUGCAGAAAUCUAGUAAUUCUUGGAGAUACAGUUGGAUCUCACAUCACUUGGGUUAAUUCAAUGACCAAAGAUUAUGAUCCAAAGUGAAUGUCUUGAGUGCGAUGCACGUGUAUAUAAGCAAAUGUUCAGAUACAAUGAGGAUAAUUUUGUCAAUUCUCUUUUAUUGUUUUCUUUUGUAAUGAAAAUACUUGUGUAAAUGUGAAUAUUAAACAAAGACUACUAUGGAUA